rnacentral:misc_RNA from 1 species
GAUGAAGAACGUAGCGAAAUGCGAUAAUUAAUGUGAAUUGCAGAAUUCAGUGAAUCAUCGAAUCUUUGAACGCACAUUGCGCCCCCUGGUAUUCCGGGGGGCAUGCCUGUUCGAGCGUCAUUUCACCACUCAAGCCUCGCUUGGUAUUGGGCAACGCGGUCCGCCGCGUGCCUCAAAUCGACCGGCUGGGUCUUCUGUCCCCUAAGCGUUGUGGAAACUAUUCGCUAAAGGGUGUUCGGGAGGCUACGCCGUAAAACAACCCCAUUUCUAAGGUUGACCUCGGAUCAGGUAGGGAUACCCGCUGAACUUAAGCAUAUCAAUAAGCGGAGGA